rnacentral:lncRNA from 1 species
GGAGCUUUGCUGAAACUGCACAAAAAAUCGAGCUGGGGGGUUCCCUGGUCCCCGAUGUUGGGGCGGAGAGCGCGGCGCCGAGGGAGGGGGCGGCGCAGACCGGCCUAGGGGACACCUGGUCGAGCGCAGCCGCCGCUCCGCUCGAGCCCUGCGCUCCAGUGCCCCCACUGGCUGGAGAGCUCGCCCAGACCGGGGGUCUUCCUCCGUCGCUGACAGAUUUUAACCAUUAGAAGAAUACCAGUUCUGGAAAACAACCAAAGUUUCUUUGAUUGAAUGCCCAUGUAAUGCAUUGGAAUAUGAUAGGCGAUUAAGGUUUAACAAUGUUAAAAUGAAGAUAUUACUAAAAUGGCCCUCUAAAUAGCCCAACAAUUAUUAUUUUCUUUGUCCUAUGGAUUUGGCUUUGAAAGAUGUGCUGCUCUUAAUAAGGUCUUCACACUGUGUUAGAAAUAAGGAAGGUGAUAAAGAAUGCCUGUAAGGGUCUUUGUAGUACUGCCUGGCCUGGGACUCACUAUGCUGAAAAAGCUGUCCUGGAAUUCAUGAAGUCUUCUAGCAAGGAAGUUGGACGUGAUUAUUUUUGUCUCCUAAGAGUAAAGAAUAUCUAAAUCAAAUAGCAAUAAGAAUGGAACUGAUCCUGAAGCAAAGUGAUACCUGCGUGUAUCCUAGCCAUUGGGAGGUGAAGGAAGGAAGUGGGAAACAGCAUAUCAAGCAUUAAUUCUCUCUCUCGGGCAGAAACCUACGUGUUCCUCUUCCAGAGAGCUGGUGAAGCCAAAGGCAUUCUCAUAAUGAUGCGCUACACCGACUGACAUUUACCAACUGUGUCAAAGCUACAGGAGCCAGGUAGACACUGCUGGAACUUUAACGGGAAUCAAACAAGUCUAUAAGAAGCACUGAGCUGUGCCACUACCCAAUCAGUGUUCUUCCAGAGCACACAAACGAAAGUGGGAGGAGCCUUCCAAUGAGAACUGUUGUGUGAUUAAUCAAUGAGGCUGACUAAAGCACACACUUAUAAUCCCAAUACUCAGAAAGACAGAGGAAGAAGGAUAUCAGCGCAAGGCCAACAAGGCUUCAAAGCAAGUACCAACCCAGUAUGGACCAUGAGACCCUAUUUCAGAAACAAAUAAUAAAAGCUUGAUGAAGCUGCAAAAA